rnacentral:tRNA from 1 species
ACCUGGUUGGCUCAAUCGGUAGAGCAUGCAACUCUUAAUCUAAGGGUUAUGAGUUCAAGUCCCACAUUAGGUG